rnacentral:rRNA from 1 species
GACGAACGCUGGCGGCGUGCUUAACACAUGCAAGUCGAACGGAAAGGCCCUGCUUUUGUGGGGUGCUCGAGUGGCGAACGGGUGAGUAACACGUGAGUAACCUGCCCUUGACUUUGGGAUAACUUCAGGAAACUGGGGCUAAUACCGGAUAGGAGCUCCUGCUGCAUGGUGGGGGUUGGAAAGUUUCGGCGGUUGGGGAUGGACUCGCGGCUUAUCAGCUUGUUGGUGGGGUAGUGGCUUACCAAGGCUUUGACGGGUAGCCGGCCUGAGAGGGUGACCGGCCACAUUGGGACUGAGAUACGGCCCAGACUCCUACGGGAGGCAGCAGUGGGGAAUAUUGCACAAUGGGCGGAAGCCUGAUGCAGCAACGCCGCGUGCGGGAUGACGGCCUUCGGGUUGUAAACCGCUUUCGCCUGUGACGAAGCGUGAGUGACGGUAAUGGGUAAAGAAGCACCGGCUAACUACGUGCCAGCAGCCGCGGUGAUACGUAGGGUGCGAGCGUUGUCCGGAUUUAUUGGGCGUAAAGGGCUCGUAGGUGGUUGAUCGCGUCGGAAGUGUAAUCUUGGGGCUUAACCCUGAGCGUGCUUUCGAUACGGGUUGACUUGAGGAAGGUAGGGGAGAAUGGAAUUCCUGGUGGAGCGGUGGAAUGCGCAGAUAUCAGGAGGAACACCAGUGGCGAAGGCGGUUCUCUGGGCCUUUCCUGACGCUGAGGAGCGAAAGCGUGGGGAGCGAACAGGCUUAGAUACCCUGGUAGUCCACGCUGUAAACGGUGGGUACUAGGUGUGGGGUCCAUUCCACGGGUUCCGUGCCGUAGCUAACGCUUUAAGUACCCCGCCUGGGGAGUACGGCCGCAAGGCUAAAACUCAAAGGAAUUGACGGGGCCCCGCACAAGCGGCGGAGCAUGCGGAUUAAUUCGAUGCAACGCGUAGAACCUUACCUGGGUUUGACAUGGAUCGGGAGCGCUCAGAGAUGGGUGUGCCUCUUUUGGGGUCGGUUCACAGGUGGUGCAUGGCUGUCGUCAGCUCGUGUCGUGAGAUGUUGGGUUAAGUCCCGCAACGAGCGCAACCCUUGUUCACUGUUGCCAGCACGUUAUGGUGGGGACUCAGUGGAGACCGCCGGGGUCAACUCGGAGGAAGGUGGGGAUGACGUCAAGUCAUCAUGCCCCUUAUGUCCAGGGCUUCACGCAUGCUACAAUGGCUGGUACAGAGAGUGGCGAGCCUGUGAGGGUGAGCGAAUCUCGGAAAGCCGGUCUCAGUUCGGAUUGGGGUCUGCAACUCGACCUCAUGAAGUCGGAGUCGCUAGUAAUCGUAGAUCAGCAACGCUGCGGUGAAUACGUUCCCGGG